GAUGAACGCUGGCGGCGUGCCUAAUACAUGCAAGUCGAGCGAACAGACGAGGAGCUUGCUCCUCUGACGUUAGCGGCGGACGGGUGAGUAACACGUGGAUAGCCUACCUAUAAGACUGGGAUAACUUCGGGAAACCGGAGCUAAUACCGGAUAAUAUAUUGAACCGCAUGGUUCAAUAGUGAAAGACGGUUUUGCUGUCCCUUAUAGAUGGAUCCGCGCCGCAUUAGCUAGUUGGUAAGGUAACGGCUUACCAAGGCAACGAUGCGUAGCCGACCUGAGAGGGUGAUCGGCCACACUGGAACUGAGACACGGUCCAGACUCCUACGGGAGGCAGCAGUAGGGAAUCUUCCGCAAUGGGCGAAAGCCUGACGGAGCAACGCCGCGUGAGUGAUGAAGGUCUUCGGAUCGUAAAACUCUGUUAUUAGGGAAGAACAAAUGUGUAAGUAACUAUGCACGUCUUGACGGUACCUAAUCAGAAAGCCACGGCUAACUACGUG
rnacentral:rRNA from 1 species